rnacentral:rRNA from 1 species
CGAUUCUGGCUCAGGACGAACGCUGGCGGCGUGCCUAACACAUGCAAGUCGAGCGAGGAGAUUCCUUCGGGAUGAUCCUAGCGGCGGACGGGUGAGUAACACGUGGGCAACCUGCCUCAUAGAGAGGAAUAGCCUUCCGAAAGGGAGAUUAAUACCUCAUAACAUUGCAGUUUCGCAUGGAACAGCAAUUAAAGGAGUAAUCCGCUAUGAGAUGGGCCCGCGGCGCAUUAGCUAGUUGGUGAGGUAACGGCUCACCAAGGCGACGAUGCGUAGCCGACCUGAGAGGGUGAUCGGCCACAUUGGGACUGAGACACGGCCCAGACUCCUACGGGAGGCAGCAGGUGGGGAAUAUUGCACAAUGGGGGAAACCCUGAUGCAAGCAACGCCGCGUGAGUGAUGACGGCCUUCGGGUUGUAAAGCUCUGUCUUCAGGGACGAUAAUGACGGUACCUGAGGAGGAAGCCACGGCUAACUACGUGCCAGCCGCUGC